rnacentral:rRNA from 1 species
AAGCACUUUAUACUGUGAAACUGCGAAUGGCUCAUUAAAUCAGUUAUCGUUUAUUUGAUAGUACCUUACUACAUGGAUACCUGUGGUAAUUCUAGAGCUAAUACAUGCUAAAAACCCCGACUUCAGGAAGGGGUGUAUUUAUUAGAUAAAAAACCAACGCCCUUCGGGGCUCCUUGGUGAAUCAUAAUAACUUAACGAAUCGCAUGGCCUUGCGCCGGCGAUGGUUCAUUCAAAUUUCUGCCCUAUCAACUUUCGAUGGUAGGAUAGUGGCCUACCAUGGUGGCAACGGGUAACGGGGAAUUAGGGUUCGAUUCCGGAGAGGGAGCCUGAGAAACGGCUACCACAUCCAAGGAAGGCAGCAGGCGCGCAAAUUACCCAAUCCCGAUACGGGGAGGUAGUGACAAUAAAUACUGAUACGGGGCUCUUUUGGGUCUCGUAAUUGGAAUGAGAACAAUUUAAAUCCCUUAACGAGGAACAAUUGGAGGGCAAGUCUGGUGCCAGCAGCCGCGGUAAUUCCAGCUCCAAUAGCGUAUAUUAAAGUUGUUGCAGUUAAAAAGCUCGUAGUUGAACCUUGGGUCUGGCUGGCCGGUCCGCCUCACCGCGAGUACUGUCCGGCUGGACCUUUCCUUCUGGGGAACCUCAUGGCCUUCACUGGCUGUGGGGGGAACCAGGACUUUUACUGUGAAAAAAUUAGAGUGUUCAAAGCAGGCCUUUGCUCGAAUACAUUAGCAUGGAAUAAUAGAAUAGGACGUGCGGUUCUAUUUUGUUGGUUUCUAGGACCGCCGUAAUGAUUAAUAGGGAUAGUCGGGGGCGUCAGUAUUCAGCUGUCAGAGGUGAAAUUCUUGGAUUUGCUGAAGACUAACUACUGCGAAAGCAUUCGCCAAGGAUGUUUUCAUUAAUCAGGGAACGAAAGUUAGGGGAUCGAAGACGAUCAGAUACCGUCGUAGUCUUAACCAUAAACUAUGCCGACUAGGGAUCGGACGGGAUUCUAUGAUGACCCGUUCGGCACCUUACGAGAAAUCAAAGUUUUUGGGUUCUGGGGGGAGUAUGGUCGCAAGGCUGAAACUUAAAGAAAUUGACGGAAGGGCAC